GAUGAACGCUGGCGGCGUGCUUAACACAUGCAAGUCGAACGAAGCACUUAGGAAAGAUUCUUCGGAUGAAAGCCUUUGUGACUGAGUGGCGGACGGGUGAGUAACGCGUGGGUAACCUACCUCAUACAGGGGGAUAACAGUUGGAAACGACCGCUAAUACCGCAUAACCCGCUAGUAUCGCAUGAUACGGACGGAAAAGAUUUAUCGGUAUGAGAUGGACCCGCGUCUGAUUAGCCAGUUGGCAGGGUAACGGCCUACCAAAGCAACGAUCAGUAGCCGGCCUGAGAGGGUGAACGGCCACAUUGGGACUGAGACACGGCCCAA
rnacentral:rRNA from 1 species